GAUGAACGCUGGCGGCGUGCCUAAUACAUGCAAGUCGAGCGAACAGACGAGGAGCUUGCUCCUCUGACGUUAGCGGCGGACGGGUGAGUAACACGUGGAUAACCUACCUAUAAGACUGGGAUAACUUCGGGAAACCGGAGCUAAUACCGGAUAAUAUAUUGAACCGCAUGGUUCAAUAGUGAAAGACGGUUUUGCUGUCACUUAUAGAUGGAUCCGCGCCGCAUUAGCUAGUUGGUAAGGUAACGGCUUACCAAGGCAACGAUGCGUAGCCGACCUGAGAGGGUGAUCGGCCACCCUGGAACUGAGACACGGUCCAGACUCCUACGGGAGGCAGCAGUAGGGAAUCUUCCGCAAUGGGCGAAAGCCUGACGGAGCAACGCCGCGUGAGUGAUGAAGGUCUUCGGAUCGUAAAACUCUGUUAGUAGGGAAGAACAAAUGUGUAAGUAACUAUGCACGUCUUGACGGUACCUAAUCAGAAAGCCACGGCUAACUACGUG
rnacentral:rRNA from 1 species